CAUUAUCGUACAAAAGAGGUGUGAGGGCUGUCGCUGACCCCCAAAGGUUGUGCAUGCCCAAACGCUUUCACACAAUCCAUCUCACCCUUUGUGCAUCACCGCGUGGGUCCCCCUUUUGCGGGGAGGGGCCUGCGUUUCCACAUAAAACUUAAUACAGUAUAGAAUGUUUAUUUUUGCGGUCACACGCAAUCAACACAACUUUCAACAACGGAUCUCUUGGCUCUCGCAUCGAUGAAGAACGCAGCGAAAUGCGAUACGUAAUGUGAAUUGCAGAAUUCAGUGAAUCAUCGAAUCUUUGAACGCACCUUGCGCCCCUUGGCAUUCCGAGGGGCACACCCGUUUGAGUGUCGUGAAAUUCUCAAAACCCUUUUCUUCUGGAAACGGAUUUUUGGACUUGGAGGUUCAAUGCUUGCCUUCAUUUUUGAAGGCAAGCUCCUCUCAAAUGAAUUAGUGGGGUCCGCUUUGCUGAUCCUUGACGUGAUAAGAUGUUUCUACGUUUUGGAUUUGGCACUGUCCCUUGGACAUCUGCUCCUAACUGUCUCAUAGACAAAUGAUGGUGCUUCGGUCGUCGCCAUCUACAUUGGCGGGAGGCUGGACCCACG
rnacentral:misc_RNA from 1 species